rnacentral:lncRNA from 13 species
AGCUUUUUAAUUUAGCAUAUUCUUAAUCUCUUUUUAAAGAAAAAACAUAUUUAAUGUUAUGCUUGGCUUUCAGGGAAAUCUAAAGAUUAGGCAAAACCAGGGCUCAGGAGAGCCCAGAGCCUGAGCUGACUUUGAGGUACCUCCUAUAACCAGGAUAGCUUAAUGGGAGUUGGAAAGUUUUUCUGAAGAAUCAAUUCAGUCAACGUUUUUAAGAAGCCCUUGCUGCAUAUCCAAGUGUGACACAGUUUGACAUUGCAAACCCAGAAAAUCUGAGACAGGUCUCAGCUUUUCCAUGGCAAGAGCCUUCAAUCAAAGCAUAGCUGAAAUCCGCCCUCUCUACAAAGUUUCCUCACUCCCCUGCCUGCCUUUGAGUCUACAUGAAAUGUCAUGAGGAUAGAGUUCUCAUAUAUGAGAUUAGUGCCUUUGUAGAACAGACCCAAGAGAGACUCUUGCUCCUUCCAUCAUGUGAAGACAGAAAGAACGUGGCAUCUACGAAUCAGGAAGCAGUUCCUCGAUCUUGAACUUCCCAAUAUCCAGAACUGUGAGAAAUAAAUGUUUCCGGUUUAUAAGCCA